rnacentral:tRNA from 1 species
AUAGUCUAAUGGUAAAAUUUCUCUUUGCCAAGGAGAAGAUGCGGGUUCGAUUCCCGCUAUCCGCCACA